UACGUAGGUGGCAAGCGUUGUCCGGAAUUAUUGGGCGUAAAGCGCGCGCAGGCGGUCUUUUAAGUCUGAUGUGAAAGCCCACGGCUCAACCGUGGAGGGUCAUUGGAAACUGGGAGACUUGAGUGCAGAAGAGAAGAGUGGAAUUCCACGUGUAGCGGUGAAAUGCGUAGAGAUGUGGAGGAACACCAGUGGCGAGGGCGACUCUUUGGUCUGUAACUGACGCUGAGGCGCGAAAGCGUGGGGAGCAAACAGG
rnacentral:rRNA from 1 species